rnacentral:tRNA from 1 species
GGCGGAUUACCCGAGCGGCCAAAGGGGGCUGACUGUAAAUCAGCUGGCAUUGCCUACGGGGGUUCGAAUCCCUCAUCCGCCA